CUGGGACCUGCUUAUCUUUGCAACUCGACUGUUGUACUGCACCAGAUCUCUACUGUGUUGUUCCUCAUCGCUGGAGCUCGCCGGAGGAAUCCGAGCGAGGAAGCAACAAGCCGGCGCUGACCUUUCCGACACCUCUCUGGGUUUCUCCGAGCCCAGCCAUACACCGCAAAUAACAAGAGGUCAGAUGCUGUCAGACCUGCAGAGUUUCACCAGCAAUUUCUGUUUUUAGUUCUUUGAUCAAAGUUUGGUCAGAUCUCCUAAUAUUUCCUUAUGUGGAUCAGAAUUAAAUUUUGUUUGCUAAUGCUCCCGUGAAGUACUUUAGAAUGUUUUACCACAUUAAAAGGUAAAUGUAAAUUUAAAUAUAAGUUGUUAUCAAAAUGUGAAUAAAAACAUA